AUGGCAUCUCAACAACAAAACCGAAAGGAGCUUGAUGAAAAGGCAAAGCAAGGAGAGACCGUUGUUCCUGGUGGUACCGGAGGGAAGAGCCUUGAAGCUCAGGAGCAUCUUGCUGAAGGAAGGAGCAGGGGAGGGCAGACAAGGAAGGAGCAGAUUGGGACAGAAGGGUAUCAGGAAAUGGGACGUAAAGGUGGGUUGAGCACUAUGGAUAAGUCAGGAGGAGAACGUGCUGAGGAGGAAGGUGUUGAGAUUGAUGAGUCCAAGUUCAGGACUGGUGGAAAGAAUCAGAACAAGUGA